UACGUAGGGGGCAAGCGUUUGUCCGGAAUCAUUGGGCGUAAAGCGCGUGUAGGCGGCUCGAUAAGUCUGCUGUGAAAGUUCACGGCUCAACCCUGAAAUGCCGGUGGAAACUGUCGAGCUAGAGUCCGGAAGAGGCGAGUGGAAUUCCUGGUGUAGCGGUGAAAUGCGCAGAUAUCAGGAGGAACACCAAUGGCGAAGGCAGCUCGCUGGGACGGUACUGACGCUGAGACGCGAAAGCGUGGGGAGCAAACAGG
rnacentral:rRNA from 1 species